CCUACGGGGGGCUGCAGUGAGGAAUUUUCCACAAUGGGCGCAAGCCUGAUGGAGCAACGCCGCGUGCAGGAUGAAGGUUUUCGGAUUGUAAACUGCUUUUAUAAGUGAAGAAUAUGACGGUAACUUAUGAAUAAGGAUCGGCUAACUCCGUGCCAGCAGCCGCGGUCAUACGGAGGAUCCAAGCGUUAUCCGGAUUUACUGGGCGUAAAGAGUUGCGUAGGUGGUUUGUUAAGUGAAUAGUGAAAUCUUGUGGCUCAACCAUAAGGCUAUUAUUCAAACUGGCAAACUCGAGAAUGAGAGAGGUCACUGGAAUUCCCUGUGUAGGAGUGAAAUCCGUAGAUAUAGGGAGGAACACCAAUGGCGUAGGCAGGUGACUGGCCCAUUUCUGACACUGAGGCACGAAAGCGUGGGGAGCGAACGGGCUUAGAUACCCUGGUAGUC
rnacentral:rRNA from 1 species